GCUGGCAUGGCGCAAUUGGUAGCGCAUCUGAGUUGUAAUCAGAUGGUUUUCUCGGUUCGAUUCCGAGUGCCAGCUCCA
rnacentral:tRNA from 1 species